CCUGUAAAAAUAUAAUCAAACAGAUGGAUGUAGUUUCUGUUUGAAGUGGACGAGUCAAUACUUAAUAGGUAUACACUUACCAAGCCGCUUCUACGUUUAAAUCCAACUUCUUCUUUCCCCCGUUCUGCCCAGUGUUUUUCUGGAAGAACAAAGAGUUUCAACUUGGAGGAUACACAUUUACCAAAGGUCAAAGCCACCUUUCAUGUCCGUAAUUUCGCAAAUUUCCAAUCGUUUCUCAAGACAAACGAGCCCUUACAGUGUUAUCUUCAUUGCUCAAACCAAGGUCAACCUUAUCGGUUUCAUGUUACAUAUUUAUUUAACAGGUACCAUUGGUGAAUGAAAUAAGGAUCAGAGGGGUCUUCCAACACUGGGGGGAGGUCCACCAGAUUUUCCACGCGAAGAGGGUUGUACCCCCGUUUUUCUCGGCGAAACCCAGUUUGUUGUACAGC